UCCUGGCUUAUGCAAAGCAGCAGGAAGAGCACAGGGAAGCAGUCAAUGUCUCCUUGCAAGAGGGCCUGGCCCCCAGACUGCCUAAAAGCAGCAGCACUCAGGCUACUCCUGCAGAAAUUGUCUCUGGAUCCAGAAGGUCGUACCAACUCUAGGCUGGUAGUCAACAAUCCUUCCUAGGUGGCCAGACUUCUUUCACUCCAUCUUCAGCAAAUACUAAUCGCCCCACCAAUUUUAACGAGGGUCUGCAAGUUUGUGUGACUUGGAACAGCUGGUCCUCUGCAGAAACCGCAGAGAGGGAGCUCUUGUGCUCUUCAAGCCAGAUCCAGCAUGUUUCCUGGAGGUACGUCUGAGAGAAUUCCAUGACUCUUUCUUCCUGCUAAAGUGUGCUAACUCGUGACUCUCAAGACAUGUUGCACCACCCCGGCGAUAACCCAUGUGAAGUGUCUGAAUAGUUCACAGUGCAACCAACAAUGAUCAGGCUGUCUCUGGGUUGUCCCCACACCCCGUCUUUCUGCAGGUAUCCCAGGAGUCGCCAACAGCAGGACCAACUUGUCUGCUCUUCUCCUGCCACAACCACAAGCCCUUUUUUACUCACUGCAUCUUUCCCCUUGAAAUUGACAGCU